AUUGAACGCUGGCGGCAGGCUUAACACAUGCAAGUCGAGCGAGUGGCGGACGGGUGAGUAAUGUCUGGGAAACUGCCUGAUGGAGGGGGAUAACUACUGGAAACGGUAGCUAAUACCGCAUACCAUCAGAUGUGCCCAAGUGGGAUUGGCUAGUAGGUGCGGUACAGGCUAACCUAGGCGACGAUCCCUAGCUGGUCUGAGAGGAUGACCAGCCACACUGGAACUGAGAAACGGCCCAGACUCCUACGGGAGGAAGCAGUGGGGAAUAUUGCACAAUGGGCGCAAGCCUGAUGCAGCCAUGCCGCGUGAGUGAAGAAGGCCUUCGGGUUGUAAAGCACUUUCAGCGAGGAGGCGUUACGCGCAGAAGAAGCACCGGCUAACUCCGUGCCAGCAGCCGCGGUAAUAC
rnacentral:rRNA from 1 species